ACACACUGCAGCUUAGGUGUGGCCUUUCUCUCCCAGGGAAGAAGUUGCUCCCAGAAUGUCCUAGGCUAACCAAUUCUGAUUCUGAGGCCCCUUAGCCCCAUAUGAUGAGGCUCAGUGCUGAGCAACACCAAUUUCUCCAUGUCCUCUGACACAGCCUGUUCUUUUGGUAUGCUUGGUUUUUGCCUCCUGUCCUGACAUCACCUUCCCCUCUCCUCAGAGCUCAGGAGGAGUCACUAAAUUUCAAUGUAGACUCCAUGGGCUUUAGGCAUGGGCUUUGCCAAUGCUGCUUCUGAUUUGCAAAUUUGUUUUAACCACAGGAAAUCAGCCAGUUCUAGAAUCUUCUUUCCUACAAUCUCCUUUUUACAUCAGUUUAUUGGCUGAUUCAAAUCUUUGGGCAUGACUCUCAUCUUGCUGAUCAAGGUAACAGUUUCCAUCACCUGUCUUUUUUCUCACACAGAGCUGCUGUGGAAUAUUACUUUAACUAUGUAAAGGAAAAAAAAGGCUUUGGAUUCCUUCAAGGUUAACAGAGAUCAGAUUUGGUAGGGGGAGACCCCCUGAAAAAUCUUAGCUACAGACAUAGAGAAAUAAACCAAGAAAAACUACAAGACAGGUGAUGUGAUCCCUCUGCACGGAAACAGUUCUGAGACUGGACGACAAAUGUUACAACUGGUUUCCCCAGGACUUGACCGUUAUCUCAAUUUUCUCAAGAUUCCCUAAAGAUGCUGUGACCCUCAGACAACAGGGAGCAGUCUAGAGAGCACAAUGCCCACAUUCCUAAGAGCUUUUGACAGAAUUUCUGAAAUAAAUCUGUACUAUUGACUUUUCACAUUACUGUGAAAAAACUGGCAAAAGAGACUUAAGGAAGGAAGAGCUACUGGGACUCAUGGUUUUCGGAAGGAUACAGUCCAUCAUGGCAGUAGCGUGAGGCGGUUGACUCAUCACACUGAUGGAUGCUGGUGACCAGCUUGCCUUCUCCCUUUAUUUGGUCUGGACUCCCAGUCCAAGGGAUGGUGCUGUCCACACUCAGGGCUCCACAUUCAUUCUUCUCUCUAAACAAUCCUUGGCAGUUUCUACUACUCUGGUCUGCUAGGGUCCCAGCCCUCCGCCAGGAAGAAUGGGAUUCUGCCAGCACAGCUUGGCUAUAGGCACUUGGAAAGUGAUGCUGGUCACCGCCUACGGUGAUGCUGGUUACCGCCUACGGUGAUGCUGGUCACCGCCUACAGUGAUGCUGGCCACUGGGGCAUGGAGGCUACUAUGGUACUGUGGGGUGAAGAGGAAGAGAGAAAGGAAAGACUGGCAAGGGUUGCCUCAGAAUCUAUGCUCCUGCCUCUUCUACCCCUACCUAUCACCAGCUCCUGGAGGGUAGGCCAGUUCCUCCUCCUUGAGGGCCAAUCGAGCGCUUAGAAAUCGGAAGUGACUGAAGAAUUUUACAAGUAAAGAAAGUUAGUGAACUUUCUUGAGCUGAGAAACUAGAGGCCCAGAAAGUGACCUAAAGUACCCACCAUCCCAGUCCCAGAUGGCAGAGCCAGGUAACAUAUCUGGUUUGUGGACCUGAGUAUUCCAGGUCAUAGCUUAUCUGAUCCCCUAAGCCACUUCUGAGUGCGGGAUGUUCAGACAGGCUGGGUACACACUCCAGGAUGCCCUUGUUUCCUGGCAAUCCUAGCAGAGAACUCAGAACCAUCAGCGUCUCAACAGGAAAUGGAACAAAGCACUGCGCUGGGGCCAAUGGGCCCAUGGGCCCACGGAGACACCCCAAGGAACUCUGUAAUUGAUCCGCCCUUAGCCUGGCUGCUUCCUUGAUAGUCUAAGGCAGUUGCCCCCAAGAGAGACAGGUCACGGUAAGAGAAUGCAAAAGUUCUUUCUUGGAGGUUUACCACCUGGGACUUCAGACAAUGCCAAGUGGGCUGAGAAGAUUUAGGGAUGAUUCUGUAGGAAGCCGGAGGGUAAUAAGCUUUACAUCCACGGUUCAAUAUGCAGAAAGCCCCUGCCCACCACCCACGGAACACACCACAAUCGGCAUCUUCUCUAGAAACAUCUUAGCUCCACGAUGCAGUAAAACAGUCUGGCCUAAGUUACAGAGCUUCUUUGAAGUCCCAGAGAGGCCCAUAAAUAAGGUUGGUACUUUGGAAGGGCUGGGGGCGCUCAUUUUGCGGGAUCCCUACACAGCUCUCUCAGACCACAUUGAUUUGUAGCCAGUUCUAAGUCAAUUUCCUGGGGCUCAUAAAUCUUGAUUCAAGCAAAACUAAAAUGUCAUCAAUAUUUAUUUAAGGUAUUUCUUACCACUCUAUAGGAAAGGAAGAAAAAAAAAAAAAGUGUCAACAUUCUCAUCCGCCGCCCUGGAGAUGAUAGGGACCACGGCCAUUCCUGGGCUCCUCCCAGACCACUUCCUUGUGAACCAUAAACCCCUGGGUAACAAAUGUACCAUUUCAUGGUCAGCCAGAGUGGUAACUGUCACUGGAGAAAUAAAACUGAGUUACU